rnacentral:rRNA from 1 species
UAGGGAAUCUUCCACAAUGGACGCAAGUCUGAUGGAGCAACGCCGCGUGAGUGAAGAAGGUCUUCGGAUCGUAAAGCUCUGUUGUUGGUGAAGAAGGAUAGAGGCAGUAACUGGUCUUUAUUUGACGGUAAUCAACCAGAAAGUCACGGCUAACUACGUGCCAGCAGCCGCGGUAAUACGUAGGUGGCAAGCGUUGUCCGGAUUUAUUGGGCGUAAAGCGAGCGCAGGCGGAAUGAUAAGUCUGAUGUGAAAGCCCACGGCUCAACCGUGGAACUGCAUCGGAAACUGUCAUUCUUGAGUGCAGAAGAGGAGAGUGGAACUCCAUGUGUAGCGGUGGAAUGCGUAGAUAUAUGGAAGAGCACCAGUGGCGAAGGCGGCUCUCUGGUCUGCAACUGACGCUGAGGCUCGAAAGCAUGGGUAGCGAACAGGAUUAGAUACCCUGGUAGUCCAUGCCGUAAACGAUGAGCGCUAGGUGUUGGGG